GGGGCUGCCUGCACCAUUCGUUAGGAAUUGCCUUGGGGAUAAACACAGACUAGUGACUAAAGAAUGAUGUCACACAAUUGUUUUAAACAAAUGAACCAAAAGGGCAAUUUGUGCCACAUUCCAACUAGGUCAUAAAACUUUAUUUAAGAAGUUUUGACCCUAGGAUUUCUCUAAGCCUUUCCAAACACUUUGUUUUGACUCCUCUUUCCAUGGGCCAUAAUUCAAAACAGUGCAGCCCAAUCUCGUUUUCAACGUUUCCUGCGAAAUCUGGCUCUUCACUUCAGAAGAGUGCUGAAGUGUCAACACAUGACCAAGAGAUUGUUUCCAGAUGCUCAGCACUGUAGAGAAAGAUCCAACGGUGGAGGACAAAAGCAGGAAUAUGGUGAAGCAUGGUGGGAUCACCGAGGAGUAAACAUGAGUGCGGAGGAAGGAGGAGAGAGAAGUGAGAAGAGAGAAAAGACGGAAGAGCAACGUGUGGUUUCGAGAAGAGCUUUAAGAAUAGGUUUUGGGGAAACUCUACCAGCCCCUACAUAUUCACAAGAUCUCUCCGUUGCCAGGGACACCUUUUUGGUGAAUAAGGAGAAAGUUCUAGGCUGAGGGCCUUGGGAAGGUUGGAGUAGAGAGGCAUUGCUAAGAGAUGGAAGAGGCAAAGACAGAUUCCAGAUGUGUGACAUCACUGGUUUCUCAGUCAGUAGAUUAUGGUGGGCUGGAUGGGGCAGGCCAUGUGGAUUGUUCGGCGACCUUACUCGUUUUGCAGCAGACUCACUUUGCAGGCCUCCUUUGGGACACCACUCUCCCUGACCCAUCAGACCCACAGUCUUGGUCCUGCGUUACUUCGCAAAGUCAGAGCGACUCGAGCCAACGGCCCUCAGAGCACAUUGGCAGCCAGAAGGAGACUAGCAAAUUAUGGCCCUUCUAUAAGACAGCACAGUUUAGGUUUUUAAUGAAUUCUUCACCUCUUUAUUUUAUGUCAAAGUCUUUCUAUUUUAAUUAAAAUGACUUCAGAAGAUAGACGGGACCGAUCCUGGAAGCGCACACUUAACUACGAAUAUAGAGGGUCAGGAACUAUCUGCAAUUUGUAUGCUGUGCCUAAGUAUCACCACCUCUUGGGAGAUGACUGUGCUUAUGGGGGUCCCAGCCCUGGUCCCUAUUUCACCUGACCAAACCCCUGUCACAGCUGUUUCCCAUCGGAAACCCUUCUAGCCUGGAUGGGUCAAGCUGAGAAUUCCUAAUUCUCUUUCUAACCUUUCCUCCCUGACAGUUCUUAGCUUUGGAGGAUAAAAGAAGAAAAAUCUGACUAUCUGAAAAUAAAUAUUUCACAGGAGCACUCAGUGAAGGUUCUGGUGCAAUUUGGGGGUGGGGCACAGAAAAUAGUGCUAGGAGACAGCAGUGUUCAAACUUUCCCUAUGACCCCACAUUUUAUAAAGAUGCCUCAAAUGCCAAAUCAUCACUGCCAUCAUCAUCAUCAUCAUCGAGUCCAUCUUGACUCCUUGCCCCUGCAAAGGGUUUCGCUGAACACCAUUUGAAAACCUCCAACUUAAGAAAAUGAGGCCCAGAGAAAUUGUAAGCCGUACCCCAGGCAUGCCAGCUCAUAGGUGACAGUACUGGGACCACAGCCCUUUUGCCCACGGUAGCAUUUGCUCAUUGCCUGGAAGUCACCACAUCACAAAAAAUGAAUGGCAGAGAUUCCAGUAAUUUUCAGUGUAAGAGAGACACAGUCAGACGCAGCACACACACAAAUGUGUUUUCAAGCCCUCCAAAUACGGGCAGCCAGGCUAAAACUCUUUGCAGCAUUUACAUUAAUAUAUAGCAGACUAGGUCUCCAGGAAUUUGUAGGAUUCUCCUCCAGCCCAACAUGAGGUCCAGGCUAUUGAGACGGUGUAAGAAAGCAAACAAGACAGAGAUGCAGGGUGUGUGUAUUCCUAGGAACUCUUGGACCGAUCCCACAAUAGUGUCAGCCUUCUCCACUCUGGCCAGGACUUAAAUCAGGCGUGCCAUCACAUGGUUUGGCAAGGAUUUUGUUCCUUUGUUUCUUCCCAGGGAGAAUAGGGAGAAAGGAUAGGAAAUACUACUUCACAUAAUAGCAUGGUUAUAUUUGUGUACUAUUUUAAAACUCUGCCCAGCUCACCCACAUACUCACUGCAAAUUAGGUUUUACAAUAAUUUUGUGAGAGCAUAAGAACGAUAUUUUCCUUAUUCUGCAAACAAGGAAAGGAAGGGGAGAGAGGUCAUGUGGUUUGCCCAAGGCCACUCCAUCAGUUGGUGACAGAUGGGAUGAUCAGUCAGUGACUGAAAGAGGAACACUCCAUUUUCUUUUCCAGCAGACUCUAGACUGGAUUCGGGCUCUGUCCUUUAGUGAACAGGUUGUAGACCCAAACCGAGGGACUGUUCCAAUUUGAAGAAACAGAACCGAGAAGACAUUUCUGUGGUGUGUGGAUCAGAAGGAAAACCCACCACUGUAGAAAAAUGGUAACAGACAUCACAGAAUUUCCUCUGACCUGUGUGUUUAUAGAUCAUCUAUAUCCAAAUAUAGACUUACAUUUGGUAAAUAAAUAAGUUGUGGUACCACAGAUUUGCAUAUCCUUUGCUGGUCGAAACUACCCUUCCCUCUGAAGGGUUUUAAAUCAGUUUAAUUCACCCCUGAAAUAAGGUUGAAAAAACUUUUUAAAUGAAGAGUGGACUCUGAAAGGAAAGAUCUGUGGUCCUGCCAAAGCAACCCCAGGAGUGAGAGGGCUAAUUUGGCAGCUGUCAGGACAGAUCAGUUCAUGGAGGGAGAAGUGGGUUGAAGGGAGGACGCUCUGUCUACAAGGACAAAGCGGGGCAUGUGAGCCUAAUUGUUCAAGCUUCUUCUCUUCCAGGGGGAGCCACCCGUAAACCCCCACAUGCCUUGCCACCUCGUCCGAUGGAAGCAGAAUGCAACCUCUGGGGCAGAGCCAUUUCUAAUCUCAAUGUCAUUACUCGGGCCUGAGACAUCCAUGCUCAGAAGUCCUGAAAUAACACAGGUUUUUCAGCGGCUUGUCUGAGCACUCCUGGAAUUCCUUUAAAAUGCAGAAGGAUGAGUCACCCUGGGUUCAUUUCUGCACAGAGGGCUGGGGAAAGACCCAGAUACAAGACACCAACAGUGCAAAAUUUGUAAAGCAAAUCUAGUGAAAAGCUAUUCCUUCUCAGAUCCAAACCUGUUGAGAAUUAAGAUGUCUUUCCAGCAACCCAGGUGUUGUUCAUAUGCCUGAUUCAGUCGUACCUGUGGCUUCAGGAAAUGGCAAGGUAGGACAGCCCACAAGAAAGCUAGCAUCAACCACAAAGGAUGAUCAUGGCUCAGGUGGAACCAAACUUGGUUACAAAGGCUUUUCCAAUAAGGAAUCACUUCCCACUCUAAGAGUUUCUGAUCAUCCCAGAAGGUGAUCCUGGGAACUUCAGAACCUUACAGUAAAUAUGAAUACCAAAGUACAAAUUCAGGUGUUUGGGGGAAGACAAAUUCCUUCUGUCUCUUUCUCAGUGACCAACGUUCAAAGCCCCCGACAACAUUCCUGGGGAGCACAUCCUCCCUUGUGUGCAGGGAACUGGAAAGCUGUCCUUGGUGUGGCAGCUGACUAAUCCAUUGACCUUGGGCUAAUCAUUUAAUUUGGGAUUGGUAAUUCACAGUCAAAGCCAUGAUUUCUGUGAUCUAAUAGAAGUAAGCCUGCCUGGGCAUGGGGACCUAAGGGUUAUAAUUUUAAGGAUUUAUUCCUUGGGAGUGGAGGCAAAAUGCUGAUGGAAAUAAAGCAGCCCAGAUUUGAAUGCCUUAGCUGUGAGUUUUACCAGAGCUCCCACACCUUCCAACAAGGGCUCCCACACCUUUCCACAAGCCCUGAGGGCUUUCUCGUGGGCCUGGGGAGGCAUAACCCACAUUCGCUCAGACGUAUAGAAGCAGACUUGCGCGGUUCAUCAGACUAUGCGUGGGACACUUGGAAGACAUCGGAGAAAUGACCUUCUGCUCACCAUUGUCUCACCAGAGCAGUCUUCUGGAAACUUAAAUGUAAUGUUCCCAUCCCCUGACUAAAAUGGCUUUCUACUGUUCUGAAAUAAAAGCCAAACUCCUCAAUACUGUUAACACAUCCCUGUGUGAUCCAGCCCCUCCCUACCUCUCCAUAUCCCUGCUUCCCUCCUUCCCUUCAAUCCAGCCUCAAGGACCCUAUUGCAUUUCCUCCAGUGACCAAGCUCUUUCUAUCUUGAGCACUCCGUUACCUCUCUUGACUUUUUAAAUAUCUGUUUCUCUUUCAGUGCUCAGCUCAAAUAUCACUUCCUCUGAGAAGCCCUCCUCGAAUCUCCCCCCAUUAGACUCUCCCACUAGAUUAUAAGCAGUAUCUAUUUGCCAUUGUACCUCUGAUGCCUACCAAGUGCCUGGCACAUAGCAGACACGAGAUCCAGCGAACUCACCAGGAUGAAGGUGAUGUAAGUGGAAGAUAGCAAACUUACUCUAGAAAUCCAGAACACUGCCAUGAUCCACACCUGCGGGCCUUAUUGGGUAUGGCCACUGAUAUUCCAGCUAGCCCAACACCUGCUUUUGGAGGAGCACUAAUACCUAGACCCAGCUUGAACACCUUCCACCACCUGCCCUGUCUCUGGGGAGUGCACAGGGUGAAGAGAAGGAGUCUGUGCGGGGACACACUGGCCUGACUGUGGGAUCUAAUACAGCAGAUACUUUAAAAUAUGCUGAUGUGGAGUUAAGUCUCUUCAAUGCACUGGAGGCAAAAAAGCCCUUGUUUUUAAAACAAAGCAUUCAUACAGAGCCAAGAAUGUCCCUGAGUCAAUAGUCCUAGUCCUUUCUCAGUCUGCUUGUGAGGCCCUGGGUCUCAGAUGGAUGAGCCAAGGACCUGCCACCUAGAGAUUACUGUCUGCUAAACCCAACUGACAUUGGUCAAGCACAGAGUGUGUACAGUAGGAGCUUGGGAGAUAACAGGAGAUGCAGAACAUAGAAGGCUCCUGAUGGAUUUGUGUAGACAGACAGGAAAAGGACAAUUCGAGAAUAAAUCCAAGGUUACACAAAAACAAGAGUGUGACUUUCCUUUGCAUUAAAGAUGAGAUCCCUAUGAGCUGAGGUCACUCAGGAAGUCUUCCUGGAGGAGGUGAGUUUGAGCUUUAAGGGAAAAAAAUGGAUUGGCAAAGUGAGCCAAACUGUAGGGAACAGGACCCACAGUUACCAGGCUGCCUGGGGCCACCGGGAGUCUGUGUUAGCAUUGUCAUCACGUGGGAUGCCUCUACUCAACCAUUUGGGGAAAAAUAAAUCCCUUUGCGGCAUCUAGUGUAGAUUGCCUGGCAGUGAGGAGUUGGGGGUGAAGUUUUGUUCUGCUUUCCCACUAUAUGUUAGGAUGCUUUGUAGUCCCAGUGCCUCUCUGAUUUUCUCACUAAUCCAGGGUCCCAAGUAAUCAUCACUUUGUUCUGCCAGCUGAAUCAGGGUCAAAACAAAAAAAAGUACAAAAAAAUUUUAUAACUUGGA